GGCGUGCUUAACACAUGCAAGUCUUACGAGAAAGUUUCCUUCGGGGAACGAGUACAGUGGCGCACGGGUGAGUAACACGUGGGUAACCUACCCUUCAGCUUGGGAUAACAUUUCGAAAGGGAUGCUAAUACCGGAUACGUUCAUUUAGACUUCGGUCUUUUUGAGGAAAGAUGGCCUCUAUACUAUGCUAUCGCUGAUGGAUGGGCCCGCGGGUCAUUAGCUUGUUGGUAGGGUAACGGCCUACCAAGGCAACGAUGACUAGCUGGUCUGAGAGGAUGAUCAGCCACACUGGUACUGGAACACGGACCAGACUCCUACGGGAGGCAGCAGUGGGGAAUAUUGCGCAAUGGGGGAAACCCUGACGCAGCAACGCCGCGUGAGUGAUGAAGGCCUUCGGGUCGUAAAGCUCUGUCAGAGGGGAAGAAGGUAAUGGGGUUAAUACCCCCACCUACUUGACGGUACCCUCAAAGGAAGCACCGGCUAACUCCGUGCCAGCAGCCGCGGUAAUACGGGGGGUGCAAGCGUUGUUCGGAAUUACUGGGCGUAAAGGGCGCGUAGGCGGCCAUUUAAGUCAGAUGUGAAAGCCCACGGCUCAACCGUGGAACUGCAUUUGAAACUGGAUGGCUUGAGUACGGGAGAGGGAAGUGGAAUUCCAAGUGUAGAGGUGAAAUUCGUAGAUAUUUGGAGGAACACCAGUGGCGAAGGCGGCUUCCUGGACCGAUACUGACGCUGAGGCGCGAAAGCGUGGGGAGCAAACAGGAUUAGAUACCCUGCUAGUCCACGCUGUAAACGAUGUACACUAGGUGUUGCGGGUAUUGACCCCUGCAGUGCCGCAGCUAACGCAUUAAGUGUACCGCCUGGGG
rnacentral:rRNA from 1 species